GCGUGUGUGAAGAAGGUCUUCGGAUUGUAAAGCACUUUCGGCGGGGACGAUGAUGACGGUACCCGCAGAAGAAGCCCCGGCUAACUUCGUGCCAGCAGCCGCGGUAAUACGAAGGGGGCUAGCGUUGCUCGGAAUGACUGGGCGUAAAGGGCGCGUAGGCGGUUCAUCGAGUCAGAUGUGAAAUUCCUGGGCUUAACCUGGGGGCUGCAUUUGAUACUGGUGGACUUGAGUUCGGAAGAGGGUCGUGGAAUUCCCAGUGUAGAGGUGAAAUUCGU
rnacentral:rRNA from 1 species